rnacentral:rRNA from 1 species
CACGAACUGCGCAAACGUUAUUCGGAAUCACUGGGCUUAAAGAGUUCGUAGGCGGCGCGUUAAGUCGGGUGUGAAAUCCCUCGGCUCAACCGAGGAAUUGCGCCCGAAACUGGCGUGCUUGAGUAAGAUAGAGGUGAGCGGAACUGAUGGUGGAGCGGUGAAAUGCGUUGAUAUCAUCAGGAACACCGGCGGCGAAAGCGGCUCACUGGGUCUUAACUGACGCUGAGGAACGAAAGCUAGGGUAGCGAACGGG